GACGCACCGUGCGAACGUUGUUCGGAAUCACUGGGCUUAAAGGGCGCGUAGGCGGGCGGUCAAGUCUGUGGUGAAAUCCUUCGGCUCAACCGGAGAAUAGCUGGAGAUACUGGCCGUCUCGAGGGGGGUAGGGGCAUGUGGAACUUCCGGUGGAGCGGUGAAAUGCGUAGAUAUCGGAAGGAACGCCGGUGGCGAAAGCGACGUGCUGGACCCUUGCUGACGCUGAGGCGCGAAAGCCAGGGGAGCAAACGGG
rnacentral:rRNA from 1 species